ensembl:lncRNA
GUCUGGAGGGCUAUCUCCAGUGCUACAGAGAGGGCAUGAGGAGUGUUCUGAUCGCUUUUGAACCUGUUCCCGAAUUCUCUGGGGAGGCAGCCGAGCGCAUCAACAAAGAGAUGUGUGAGCUGACCCGCAGCACCUGUCUGCUAGGAGAGAGAGGAGGGAUCAGCUCCUCAUGGGCCUGGCCAAGCUCAAGAAGUGACCACUGGACUAUCAACACCACUGAUGUACAAGAUGGACUUGUGUCUGGGACUCUUCUGUCCAUUACUCAGGCCUUCACUGACCCUCACUCAGCCUGAGGAGCAUGGUGAUGAGAAUGAUCUGAUCUCUCAAUGGUGCCUACACUGGGGAUGGUAAUGAAUACUGUAGCCCUGAGUCCUCACACACAAUCGCUCAACUAAUCUGGGAUGUUGCUGUAGGAGCCCACACACACAAUAAACCAAUCUGGGGAUUGAUUGCCAUGCCUUCUCAGAAAUAUAUCCAUGUUUUAUGCAAUCAACAAGUUGAUGAUCAGACAAAGGAAGUAAUGGUUUGGUCAUACCACAAUGGUUUCUUGAAUUGUGAAUAUGAAUUGUUAAUGUGAUAAACUUGUUUAAUGAUUUUUUAAUUUUUUUUAUUCAAAUGUUGAAUUUCUCUAGGAUUGGAAUAGAUUUGAAUUGUCCUUAUCAAGAACUAAAGAUAAACAACAAACAUAUGAAUUGAUUGAAAAUACAUCAUAGGGUUUUUCAUAUUGUGUUACAUCACAUUUUGGACAACUAUGAUUGGGAUCUGUUAAAUGGGUUGAACAUCAAAAAAAAUAUCUUCCCUCUACAUUUGUUCUGGUGAUCUUGUGACUCAUGAUGACUAUGUACUUUAUACAGUAUGCUUGACCAGUAAUUAACACCGAAUUCAAGUGUCCCGAUCUGACAACAGUACAUUUGAAGUUAAUGUGAUCACAGGGUGUAUUCAGUGAAAUGAAACGUUCAGAAUGUUUAAUCAUACAGAGCGAAAAGUGGAGCGAGUUUCCCAAAGGCGGGAGCAUGGUCCUUCUCGCCCGCUCCAGUUUCUCUCCAGUAGCGCUCACUUGACGAGCUCAGGGCAUCGCCGGCCCAGCAUGCAUUUGUAUUCGACUUGUGUGCUGCUAUAGCUCUUUGCUUUGGCUACUAUCAUUUAGUAUGCAAAAUAUUUUCAUAAAGAAACUGAUAAAAAAAUCAAGGUGAUUUACAAAGAUGAGUAAGUGAUGUGUUGUCUUAAAUCUCUCUUGUCGUGAUGUGUGUUUUGUUUUAUAUUUGUAUUUUUAAUCCCAGCGCCCGUCCCUGCAGGAGGCCUUUUGCCUUCUGGUAGGCCGUCAUUGUAAGAAUGUGUUCUUAACUGACUUGCCUAGUUAAAGGUUUUAAAAAAAAGGGAGUGCGGUGAACUGAAGAAUCGUUGUGGAAUCUGAAAAGAAAGUUAUCCCGAAAGCCGUUAUCGUGUACUUAUUACGUGCAAAUGCUAACAGAAUGAAACGAGAUGGGUAGCUAGCUAGGUGUGUCAUUGUAGGAAACUAUUUAUAAACUAAAAAUCAGAUUAAGUUUCGUUAAUUUUUGUUCUAUUAUCUAUACAAUAGGCCAUCAAUAAAUUUUGGCUCAAUAUGCCUGGCAUAUUAACGUUACCUCUUGCAAGGAGCUUUCCGUUUUGAUAGGGUUAUUUUACCUAAAAAUACUUUAGGCCUACCUACAGAAAAAAAAAACACAUACUCAUCCCUGCCCAGCCUGGCAAGAGUGUCCCAAGGGUGUUUAGCGUUCCCAGUGGCUCUGCAAGCACUGAGCACAUAUUCUCCCGCUGCUGGCAUGCUCUCCAGGCACCUGAGCCUGAAAGCAGUGACUCAGGCCAAGCUCAUGUUUCUAAAAAUGAAUUCAAAGGGACUGUAGAUGGAGCCUAAUAAGGCAUUUUUCGUUUCAUUUGAUUUUAAUUAUAAGUAAGUCACAGCCUAGAUGUGCAAUUUAUAGACUAUAAUGAUUUAAUACAACGAAAUGUUAUUUAAAUGCUAAGGCUUAAUGUCCGACAGCCUAGUGUGUCGCACUCGCAAAUGCUUUACGAUGUAUUGUAUUUCUUUGUAGACUAUAGCCUUGAAAUAAUAUAGCCUAAAUAAAUCAUUUUCGUUCCUUCUCAGGCUACUUGUUUGGCUCCUGACCUAGUUAGUGUUUAUAUGCUGUUUAAUAUGACAUGUAACCCAUUUCAAAUGAUGACAACCUUUUCCGGUUGUUUAUUAAAAUACUUUUAAUUGAAAUCAUAAUGGUUUGGUUUCAAUACUUCGAAACCAAAUAGUCGAUUCUGGUAGUCAUAAAAAUACAUAGGCCUACUCUGUCCUGAACAUGUCCCGGUAUUCCGAUUAGCGAGUGGAGUUGAUGAGUGCUCUUAUCCUUGGUCUCGCCCCUAGCGGGUGGAUCCUCAAGAAGAGAAGAUUAUAAAAACUCAGGUGCAUCGCUCCAGAGCUCACACACGCAGCUUUCUCAGUUGGACUUGUUUCCAAACAAAUCACACUUUACUCUUCUACGUUUGGAGUUCCUUGACAAGACGGCGUUAAAGAGAACCGAAAAUUGAAGUUGAUGGAAGUUUGCUGAUAUUCCAGGAAAGUGGGAGGUGAGUUAGCUGUGAUUUGUGACUCAUUCGUGCCGCAUAUUCAACGGUUUUUUUCGGAUUUAUGUAACGAUAGAGCCGAUGGUGAAUGAGAUUUAGAUGUUGUCCCCCUUAUAUACAGGUUAGAAUUGUCAGGUUAGAAAUUCGAUGAGGAAACCAAAGUUGAUAUGUGAUUGAUUGUCGAAUUGUUAUGGACAGUUUGACAUUUUGUGGCCUAUUUUAAUGAAAACAAAAGCGAUUUAAUUGAUUUUUCUAAGAUAAUGGGAAUUCACUUUCUUGUAUGACAUGAUUUGUUUUGAUCCGUCUCUCAAUAUAGCCUCACUGUUGAUAGCCACUAGCCAGUGUUGUGUGAAGGUAAUUACUUGACUGAAAACACACAUUAUAUACUGGGGGGGGGAACUAAAACAAACACUUAACAGUGAUGUAGGUCUACUGUUUUCCUACCCAGGGUCUGUUUGGUUUUCUGAAAAUAAAACCUUU